UUGGGUUAAGUCCGUAACGAGCGCAACCCUUGUCCUUAGUUACCAGCACGUUAUGGUGGGCACUCUAAGGAGACUGCCGGUGACAACCGGAGGAAGGUGGGGAUGACGUCAAGUCAUCAUGGCCCUUACGGCCUGGGCUACACACGUGCUACAAUGGUCGGUACAAAGGGUUGCCAAGCCGCGAGGUGGAGCUAAUCCCAUAAAACCGAUCGUAGUCCGGAUCGCAGUCUGCAACUCGACUGCGUGAAGUCGGAAUCGCUAGUAAUCGUGAAUCAGAAUGUCACGGUGAAUACGUUCCCGGGCCUU
rnacentral:rRNA from 1 species